rnacentral:rRNA from 1 species
CACGUAGGGCGCAAGCGUUGUCCGGAAUUAUUGGGCGUAAAGAGCUCGUAGGCGGUCUGUUACGUCUGCUGUGAAAACCCAGGGCUUAACCCUGGGCUUGCAGUGGAUACGGGCAGACUAGAGGCAGGUAGGGGAGAAUGGAAUUCCCGGUGUAGCGGUGAAAUGCGCAGAUAUCGGGAGGAACACCGGUGGCGAAGGCGAGUCCCUGGACAACUCCUGACACUGAGGCACGAAAGCUAGGGGAGCAAACAGG